GGAACCAUCACUCCGACUUGUUUUUGUAUUCUAAGAUCUAAGAGAGAAAUAGGGAGGACAGAAAAAUGUCAGUGAUGUUCCUAAUCGCCAGAGAAGUGUGUAAGCAGGGAUUCGCCGAAGAAGAUUAAACGCGAACACCAUAGAAGGAAAAGAAGAUCUAUUUGGUGGUGUUGGUGGCCUGACUGAGCUUAGUCAAUGACGAAGGACAAUAGCAAAAGGCAACGAUGAAGGAAAAUGAUAAAUGACAGCGACGAAUGGUAAUGGUGGUGGGUUCCGAGGGAGAAGAUGAAGAAAUUUUUGUUUCUUCAACUUUAAUGAAAACAAGAUAUAUGUUACCUACGAACACGAGAUUUCAACAAGAAAUUUGUUGUUCAUUUUACCAAUUGAUUUUAUCGACAGAAAAAUCUAUAAAUAUAUGAAAUGCAUUACUUAUAAAUUUAUUAACGAAUUUUUUUAUCAAUAAAUAAAAUAUGUAUUAUUGAUAAAUUUACUGACGAAUUUUUUCUAUCAGUAAAUAAAAUAUAUAUUAAUAAUAGAUUUUUUUUGGUUGAUAAAAAAAU
rnacentral:lncRNA from 1 species